rnacentral:misc_RNA from 1 species
AUAAACUGAUUUGCUUUGAAUAAUUUUUUCUAUUAAAACUUAUAUGUGAUGUUAUUUAUACAUCCAUACAGCAAGGAUUGGUUGACAUUGAGGCUCCCGAGAACUUUGCAAAAAAAAUUUCUGGCAUGGGAAUAAAAGUUGGUGUUCAAUAUGCAGUUAUAAAUUAUUAUUUUUUAAAUUUUCAUCCCAUGUCUUUAAUUGUCAUCUUUUUACACUGUUUGCAAAUGACAGCAAUUCAGAAGUACAUAUCAAGGUACAUGGACUGGUAUUUGAUUAUUAAAAGGGUAGCCAGGGACAAAACAGUUGAAAUUAAACCUGGGUAUUUUUGUAACAUGCAUUUUAACUGCAUACUCAUACUGUCAUGCAUAUACAUGUAGUUUAUUUUCAAAUGUUUUUUGUCCAAAACGAAAUCUAGUUUGUAGCGAAGCCAAAUUUCAAUUUUGUUGAUGUUCAGUGGUAGAUUUUUUCCCCCAAAGAGUCAUUAGAUAUUCUCAGUGGAGUAUACUGAUGUCCAUACAAAGUCAUGUAUUUGUGUUUUUUAGCUUAGAAAAUCAUAUAACAUAUUUUUUCAUAGUAAAGUCUUACUUAUGAACAUCCAUCUAUAUGUGAAUCAAUGCUAUCUAUACCUGUACUAUAUCAGCUAAAAAAGACAUUUGUUGAGUUAAAUCAAAUCACUGAAGAAAUAAUAUUUCACAGAUUGGAUAUAAGAUAGAUAUACGAGGAAUGGGGCAUGUUCAAAUCUAAAAAGGGGUGACAAUACAAUGUAUAUCAUACAUGUAUUUUGUUCUUUACAAUUUAAAACACUGUUUUGAAAUAUACAGUAUUUCAGAACUAUUAAAAAAAUCUUGCAGUGAAAAUUGUAAUCCAAACUGGAUUCCAGAGACUGAAUUAACAAUCAUUAAUAGAAGCUUGAACUUAUCUGAGUUAUGCAUCCUUGUAGAGGAAAUGUAGAGAUCACAUUAUCUAAUUCAGGUUGAUUUUUAUCGUCUAUUUUGAAAGAAAGAAUGUCAUGAAAUGGAGAAUGUCCCAUUCCUCCUGGAUUAAUCAUAUAAAUAGAGUAAAAAUCACAAUUUAGAAACUGUUCUAUAUUUUUCAUGUUAAAUCGUGUAAUACUAGAGAUACUUUUUUUUAAUACUCAAAGUUGAGUUAAAUAAAUUUUAGGUA